rnacentral:rRNA from 1 species
CACGUGGGUAACGUACCCCGAUCACCGGGACAACCCGAGGAAACUCGGCCUAAUACCGGAUGUGUCCGUGAAUCAUGAGGUUCACGUGCAAAGGAAGCUUCGGCCUCCGGAUCGGGAGCGGCCCGCGGCCCAUUAGUUUGUUGGUGGGGUAAUGGCCUACCAAGACCGCGAUGGGUAGCUGGUCUGAGAGGACGAUCAGCCACACUGGGACUGAGACACGGCCCAGACUCCUACGGGAGGCAGCAGUGGGGAAUCUUGCGCAAUGCGCGAAAGCGUGACGCAGCAACACCGCGUGAGGGA